GACGAACGCUGGCGGCGUGCCUAAUACAUGCAAGUAGAACGCACAGUUUAUACCGUAGCUUGCUACACCAUAGACUGUGAGUUGCGAACGGGUGAGUAACGCGUAGGUAACCUGCCUGGUAGCGGGGGAUAACUAUUGGAAACGAUAGCUAAUACCGCAUAAUAUUAAUUAUUGCAUGAUAAUUAAUUGAAAGGUGCAAUUGCACCACUACCAGAUGGACCUGCGUUGUAUUAGCUAGUAGGUGAGGUAACGGCUCACCUAGGCGACGAUACAUAGCCGACCUGAGAGGGUGAUCGGCCACACUGGGACUGAGACACGGCCCAGACUCCUACGGGAGGCAGCAGUAGGGAAUCUUCGGCAAUGGACGAAAGUCUGACCGAGCAACGCCGCGUGAGUGAAGAAGGGUUUCGGAUCGUAAAGCUCGGUUGUAAGAGAAGAACGGGUGUGAGAGUGGAAAGUUCACACUGUGACGGUAUCUUAACAGAAAGGGACGGCUAACUACGUG
rnacentral:rRNA from 1 species